AUCUCCUGACCUCAUGAUCCGCCCACCUCGGCCUCCCAGAGUCCUGGGGUUACAGGCGUGAGCCACCACGCCCAGCCCAGAACACUUUUUUUUCUAAUGAGACAUGUUUCUUUACUAAUUGCUUACAGAAUUCACAUUGGAACAUGUUGAUUUUGUCCAGUUACAGAUGGGGAAACUAAGAGGUUCUUUGGUUUUGUUUUUUUGGGUUUGUUGUUGUUGUUGUUUGUUUUUUUCCUUGAGACAGAGUAUUACUCUGCUGCCCAGGCUGGAAUGCAGUGCAGUGGCAUAAUCAUGACUCACUGCAGUCUCCAUCUCCUAGGCUGAGGCGAUCCUCCCACCUCAGACUCCCGAGUAGCUAGGACCACAGGCACACGCCACUAUGCCCAGCUACUUUUUUGCAUUAUUUGUAGAGAUGAGGUCUCCCUAUGUUGCCCAGGCUGGUCUCAGACUCCUGGGCACAAGUGAUCCAACUGCCUCAGCCUCCCAAAGUACUGGAAUUACAGGAGUGAGCCAUCUCGCCCAGCCAUGAGGUUUUCCCCAGACGUGCCUCCAAGCACACAGAAAAAACACAUUUCCUUUCUUCUGGUGUAGCUGAAAUGAUCCAUUGGUGUGUAUUUUAUGGACAAUAUCUUCUCAUCUGCACACUUUUCUGCUGAUUUACAUUUAUGUUGGCUCCAUGGAGAGAUACAACCAGAAAGGGACUUUGUGGCAUUGUUGGGAUAUCCACAACCCUGCCACUAGUCUACCAUCAGCUAACUCCAGCCAAGGACAGCCAGGGGACUAGAAGAGGUGUUGCCUAACCCUCCUACCAGCAAAGCAAUUCAAGAAGACAGUAACUAAAAUAAGCUCUUAGAGGAGUUGUGCCUACACACCCUUAUUUGACCUGCCCGAGGAGAUUAGCUCAAAGCUGGAAUGCACCAGUGGAAAAAGAACAGAAAGUGGAAAAAGCCUAUGCCUGAAACUACCAUUUUAUAGAGUUAAUGCAAGUUAACAUCCACUCAUACAUACAGUAAUACCAUUAAGGUCAUUUCUAUCUCCAAGUAACAGCCUUUAUCUAAAACCAGUUCAAUAUUCUUCAUUCCUCCCAAUGCUCCUGCCUCUCCCUUCUGGUUCCCCUUCUUUUCUCCUCUAACUCCCUGAGACACAGGAGUUUUUGUUUUUGUUUUUUUUCUGAGCUGAUUUUCAAUUCGAUGAAGUCCGUUUCCAUAACACUUUUAAUAUCUGAAUAACCCAUUCAUCUUUACCCAAAUUUCUUCACCUUCCAGGCUCCAGCUGCUCUGCGCUAUCUGGUCAAGGUUCCCUACAUUUCCUAAUAAAGAUGUGCAUGUUAGGAGCAGUUACUGUGGCUCUUUAAAGUAAGAGCAGACUUCAGUGCUGUGGGAAUAAAAGCAAGGUCUUUGGAGGGGAAGAUUUAUGGCUGAAUCAACAAGAAUUAAAAAGAGGACAACCCUGAGGAGAAAACCCAAGUUCUCCAAAUUGACUGAAUUGCCUUUUGUAUCUCAAGGCUGAGAUGAUUAUUUGUUUUUGCAAAUAGAAAUGCUAUGUAUAUUAGACUCAAAACUGAUAACAUAUUAGAGCUUUCAGCAAAAUAAAAAAUGUUUAACAUGUCUAGUAUAGAACCACAUAUCCAAACACUGAUGAAAUUCAUAUUACUCCUUACUCAACACAAAUACACAACACAUACCACAACCACCACCACUAACACACCACACCACAUAUACCACUGAAACCCAUUCAACUACUAUCUGAGACCCUUCAUACCUGGGAAAGGAACCUACUCAUAGUUGGGUGCCUUUAAUUCUUCAUCAGGCUUCAGGGAGAUGGUAGUUUACUACUAUGCAUUCAAGAAAUGGACCUGUGGAAAAGCAAGCUUUUCUCGCACAUGAAGAAUUAAAUAUACUGAUAAAAUAACAUAUUGACAUAUCACAGUUUUCACAUUCUGUUACUAAGGACUUCCAUAAAAUCUUUCCAUGUCGCUGGUCGAGAAAUAGCAACUUGAGAUUACAAAACUGAGUUAUCCAGUCACCCAAUGAGUCAGCAAGUAAACUAAUUUGAACACUUCUGGUUCUUCAAUUACCAAGCCUCACCUCCCCUGUAGAAUCCAAAGAAUCCCCAUGUGAGGCCAUUGUACCAUCUAUAGCAAUUUCAUAGCAAGCAGGCCUCUCUGCAGGAUAGCUAAAGUUUCAUAUUUGGAAAGGCUCAGAAAAAAAAUGUAAGCAUUAUACUCCUAUAGUCAAAAACAAAAAUCCCAUGACAUAUGGUUUCAUUGAGAAAAUUACACACAGUAUUUAUUUAGAAAAAAAUAAUUUCAAUUUAUGAAGUUGUACUUUAGAAGGAAAUAAAUAAUCAUGUCACAUUCCAAUAGGACUACCUUUUGUCUGUCAUUCAUAGGGACAUUUUCACAGGGCUAAUAAAGCUCGCGGUUUUCC
rnacentral:lncRNA from 1 species